rnacentral:lncRNA from 1 species
UAUUUUCAGGGAGUGUGCGGGGUGCGGGGCGAAGCCUCUGGGAGGCGAGUCCCAGGCCCAACGCCUGGACCUUAGAGUUCCGCGUCCGAGUGCUGAAGUGCUCACACGUCGCCUUGCUCCUCUUUGCCUUGUGCCUAACUUCUCGCUAGUCACUACUUCCUGGGGGAAACCCGGCACCUUUCCAUUGUAACGCAUCGAGGAGUUUGGCAAAACUUCUGAGAUCGCUGGCCCUACACACCUCUGCCUCUCUGGCCUGGGUAGACUCAGUAUGUGGGCUUAGUCGCCUCUUCCUCGGCGUCCGUUCACCUCUCGUUAGUGCCCUGAAUCCUGCCGUUACGCCC